UUUUUAUACCAAUUGGUUAAAUCAAUUACACGGCCGAUAUUCAAUUAUUGGUUCGAAAUUUGACCAAAGAAAAUAAUGAAAACGCGUAAAACACUUUGUCAGUGUUGUUUAUCGUCGACGUUUUCAGGUGAUAGCUCACCAUCAGUGCUCGCAGGCUCUAAACAAAAACACGACCCAGAAGUACCGGCCGGAAAACCCGAUCGUCAAGAUCCAACGAUUGAAGGCUAAGGCUGAGGCCAAGGCCGCUGGCAAGGAGGAACCUCUGGCGAAGAAAACCAACCGCCUGCGGCAGGGCGCCAACACCUUCGUCAAACUAGUCGAGCAGAAGAAGGCUCAGCUGGUUGUGAUCACUCACGAUGUUGACACCAUUGUGCUGGUCAUUUACCUGCCGGCUCUGUCCCGUAAGAUGGGUAUCCCGUGCUGCAUCAUCAAGGGCAAGUCCCGGCUGGGAACGUUGGUGUUCCGUAAGACCUGCACCCGUGUUGCUCUGACCCAGGUGGACAACUCAGACUGCAACUGUUUGCGUUUGCGGCCCUAGUAAAAACCUGUAAACAACAUCCGAACAAAAAUUCACGGGUUUGUCGGGUUUGUCGCGUUUGUCGUCUUCUCGAGGUUUAGCGCAACUUGAUUGGAUCGGUUGGGCGGCAAUUAAAGGAUAUUGCUGGAAUCACGACUGAAUUUGUUCCCGGGAGAUCCGUCAAAGAUGGUCGAAAUCGAGUAUCGACUGCAGAUUCCCGCGGACAACUUGCCGGAUUUUACAAACGCCUGUCAGCAUGUUGUAGCCAAAUCCUGUGGUUUAAUUUGGUCUCUCUACAAUCACCGGAGAUUCUUGGAUGGAAACUUUGGUCGUAAAAGUUGUGAGCAGAUGAAAAGGGUCAAUUCUUUUGCCACUAAAGUCAAACAAUGCUGCCGGAAGUUCCUCGGUGGAUAAGUCACAGGUUUCCAAAAGCUUGGAUCCACUGAGUUCGAAAACUGAAGGACCGAGGAUCUGGUCUGUCGGAGCUGUGAUUGCGAUGCGCCGUGAGUCGAUUGAUCUGAAAAGCAGCUUCCGCCAGAUGGUCGUGUCGGAUAUCUUGGCCCUCUUACCAGUAAUAAAAAUCGUACUGCGUGUUGGCAAAAUCUGGAAGAAAAUCUUCUCAAGAAAAGGAUGCAUCAGAUGAUACUGCGGGAAAGUUCUCGGUAUUAAAGGAAAAAGGAUGGCAACGAUUUUAUGAACAUUGUUUUAAUUUAAAGGUAUCAGUACAUUUCAAUAUAAUGUUAUUUUAUAUCAUUGAAUAUAAUUUUAAAAUAUCUCA